rnacentral:rRNA from 1 species
GAUGAACGCUGGCGGCGUGCCUAAUACAUGCAAGUCGAGCGAACGGACGAGAAGCUUGCUUCUCUGAUGUUAGCGGUGGACGGGUGAGUAACACGUGGAUAACCUACCUAUAAGACUGGGAUAACUUCGGGAAACCGGAGCUAAUACCGGAUAAUAUUUUGAACCGCAUGGUUCAAAAGUGAAAGACGGUCUUGCUGUCACUUAUAGAUGGAUCCGCGCUGCAUUAGCUAGUUGGUAAGGUAACGGCUUACCAAGGCAACGAUGCAUAGCCGACCUGAGAGGGUGAUCGGCCACACUGGAACUGAGACACGGUCCAGACUCCUACGGGAGGCAGCAGUAGGGAAUCUUCCGCAAUGGGCGAAAGCCUGACGGAGCAACGCCGCGUGAGUGAUGAAGGUCUUCGGAUCGUAAAACUCUGUUAUUAGGGAAGAACAUAUGUGUAAGUAACUGUGCACAUCUUGACGGUACCUAAUCAGAAAGCCACGGCUAACUACGUG